CCUACGGGAGGCUGCAGUGGGGAAUAUUGGACAAUGGGGGCAACCCUGAUCCAGCCAUGCCGCGUGUGUGAAGAAGGCCCUCGGGUUGUAAAGCACUUUCAGUGAGGAAGAACGCCUGGUGGUUAAUACCCAUCAGGAAAGACAUCACUCACAGAAGAAGCACCGGCUAACUCCGUGCCAGCAGCCGCGGUAAUACGGAGGGUGCGAGCGUCAAUCGGAAUUACUGGGCGUAAAGCGCGCGUAGGUGGCUUGAUAAGCCGGUUGUGAAAGCCCCGGGCUCAACCUGGGAACGGCAUCCGGAACUGUCAAGCUAGAGUGCAGGAGAGGAAGGUAGAAUUCCCGGUGUAGCGGUGAAAUGCGUAGAGAUCGGGAGGAAUACCAGUGGCGAAGGCGGCCUUCUGGACUGACACUGACACUGAGGUGCGAAAGCGUGGGUAGCAAACAGGAUUAGAUACCCCGGUAGUC
rnacentral:rRNA from 1 species